rnacentral:rRNA from 1 species
AGCGAACGCUGGCGGCAUGCUUUACACAUGCAAGUCGAACGGUAACAGGGUGCUUGCACCGCUGACGAGUGGCGAAUGGGUGAGUAAUGCGUCGGAACGUGCCGAGUAGUGGGGGAUAACGCAGCGAAAGUUGUGCUAAUACCGCAUACGUACUGAGGUAGAAAGUGGGGGACCUUCGGGCCUCACGCUAUUCGAGCGGCCGACGUCUGAUUAGCUAGUAGGUGAGGUAAAGGCUCACCUAGGCGACGAUCAGUAGCGGGUCUGAGAGGAUGAUCCGCCACACUGGGACUGAGACACGGCCCAGACUCCUACGGGAGGCAGCAGUGGGGAAUUUUGGACAAUGGGCGAAAGCCUGAUCCAGCCAUGCCGCGUGUCUGAAGAAGGCCUUCGGGUUGUAAAGGACUUUUGUCAGGGAGGAAAUCCCUAGCGUUAAUACCGCUGGGGGAUGACAGUACCUGAAGAAUAAGCACCGGCUAACUACGUGCCAGCCGCCGCCGUAAAAC